rnacentral:rRNA from 1 species
GACGAACGCUGGCGGCGUGCCUAAUACAUGCAAGUUGAGCGAUUAAGAUUGGUGCUUGCCCCAAUUUGAAGAGCAGCGAACGGGUGAGUAACGCGUGGGGAAUCUGCCUUUGAGCGGGGGACAACAUUUGGAAACGAAUGCUAAUACCGCAUAAUAACUUUAAACAUAAGUUUUAAGUUUGAAAGAUGCAAUUGCAUCACUCAAAGAUGAUCCCGCGUUGUAUUAGCUAGUUGGUGAGGUAAAGGCUCACCAAGGCGAUGAUACAUAGCCGACCUGAGAGGGUGAUAGGCCACAUUGGGACUGAGACACGGCCCAAACUCCUACGGGAGGCAGCAGUAGGGAAUCUUCGGCAAUGGACGAAAGUCUGACAGAGCAACGCCGCGUGAGUGAAGAAGGUUUUCGGAUCGUAAAACUCUGUUGGUAGAGAAGAACGUUGGUGAGAGUGGAAAGCUCAUCAAGUGACGGUAACUACCCAGAAAGGGACGGCUAACUACGUG